AGUCGUAACAAGGUCUCCGUUGGUGAACCAGCGGAGGGAUCAUUACCGAGUUUACAACUCCCAAACCCCUGUGAACAUACCUUAUGUUGCCUCGGCGGAUCAGCCCGCGCCCCGUAAAAAGGGACGGCCCGCCGCAGGAACCCUAAACUCUGUUUUUAGUGGAACUUCUGAGUAUAAAAAACAAAUAAAUCAAAACUUUCAACAACGGAUCUCUUGGUUCUGGCAUCGAUGAAGAACGCAGCAAAAUGCGAUAAGUAAUGUGAAUUGCAGAAUUCAGUGAAUCAUCGAAUCUUUGAACGCACAUUGCGCCCGCCAGUAUUCUGGCGGGCAUGCCUGUUCGAGCGUCAUUUCAACCCUCAAGCCCAGCUUGGUGUUGGGAGCUGCAGUCCUGCUGCACUCCCCAAAUACAUUGGCGGUCACGUCGAGCUUCCAUAGCGUAGUAAUUUACAUAUCGUUACUGGUAAUCGUCGCGGCCACGCCGUUAAACCCCAACUUCUGAAUGUUGACCUCGGAUCAGGUAGGAAUACCCGCUGAACUUAAGCAUAUCAAU
rnacentral:rRNA from 1 species